AGAAGAUCCGCUCACUUGGUGACAUCGCCAAGCGAGCGGAUCUGAAGGUGUAUGGGGACAUUAAGUCUGACGGUCAUUUAAGGCGAGAUUAGGGGGGAAAUACAUUUGCUAUUAUAGAUCUACAGGAAAUCAUAACAAUGUGUUCAAACGUCUAAACCCUUGUUUGGCGCUAAGGUGGGCCCUGACCAAUCAUCAUACACUGGCACCUAAAGGGUGUUUCACCAUUCAAUUCACUGUUGAUUCACAGCUGAUGUCAUAGUGGGUUCCCAUGGCAACACUGAUGUCUUUAGACCACCCAUGUGGAAGCCUGCAGCUGAUGUCACAAUGGGUUCCCAUGGCAACACUGAUGUCACAAUACCAGCUGUGUGUGCGUAACCGUUACAACUUGGGGAAACACUUCAGAUUGCUUUUUAGAGCAGAAACGUAACGACCAUCUACCACAAUGGCGCCCAGAUUCUGUGAUUGUAUCCUGGACUGUGUGAGAGGUGUCUGCGCACCGUUCAGGUACAAGAAGAAGAAGCCUGGAAAGUUUGCCCAUAUGGAGACGGUCGUUUACGUAAGUAGAAAACACCAGAUAUAACUAUUUGUGAGUAAAUGGGCUGCUGGAUCAGGGUCUGUGUGUAUAGGGUACUUAGCGGCUCAGGGGGGGUUGCAGGCAUUGCAUCGGUAGUUACUGAUGGGCUUAUUAUUAGUUUAUCAUCAGUAAUAGAUAAUAAGGCGUGGCCAUGUUGCCAAGCAACCGGAUCUUCUCCCGAUACCCCCCACCUACGGGUGGGCAAUAUUGGGAGAAUCC